GUUGAACGCUGGCGGCGUGCCUAACACAUGCAAGUCGAGCGAACAGACGAGGAGCUCGCCUGGUUUCCGCGAGGGACGGACGGGUGAGGAACACGAAGCUAACCUGCCUAUGGGACUGGGGUAACUUCGGGGGCGCGGAUACAACAUCGGACAAGAUUGCGAACCGCAUGGUUCGUCGGUGAAAGCGGGCUUUGCUGAGCCUAAUACGUGGUCCUGAGCCGUAUUAGCAAGUUGGUACGGUAACGGCUUACCAAGGCUACGAUCCGUAGCUGACCUGAGAGGGUGAUCGGCCACACUGGAACUGAGACACGGUCCAGACUCCUACGGGAGGCAGCAGUAGGGAAUCUUGCACAAUGGGCGAAAGCCUGACGGAGCAACGCCGCGUGUGUGAAGAAGGUCUUCGGAUCGUAAAGCUCUGUUAUUAGGGAAGAACAGCAGUGUGAGAAACUGUGCCCGUCUUGACGGUACCUACAGAGUAAGCCACGGCUAACUACGUG
rnacentral:rRNA from 1 species